UGGGAAUUUUGGACAAUGGGCGAAAGCCUGAUCCAGCAAUGCCGCGUGUGUGAAGAAGGCCUUCGGGUUGUAAAGCACUUUUGUCCGGAAAGAAAUCCUUGGCUCUAAUACAGUCGGGGGAUGACGGUACCGGAAGAAUAAGCACCGGCUAACUACGUGCCAGCAGCCGCGGUAAUACGUAGGGUGCAAGCGUUAAUCGGAAUUACUGGGCGUAAAGCGUGCGCAGGCGGUUUGCUAAGACCGAUGUGAAAUCCCCGGGCUCAACCUGGGAACUGCAUUAGUGACUGGCAGGCUAGAGUAUGGCAGAGGGGGGUAGAAUUCCACGUGUAGCAGUGAAAUGCGUAGAGAUGUGGAGGAAUACCGAUGGCGAAGGCAGCCCCCUGGCAGGUCACUGACGCUCAUGCACGAAAGCGUGGGGAGCAAAC
rnacentral:rRNA from 1 species